ACCACGGAGGGUUUGAUCCUGGCUCAGAACGAACGUUGGCGGCGUGGAUUAGGCAUGCAAGUCGAACGCGAACGUCACCUUCGGGUGGCUAGUAGAGUGGCGAACGGGUGAGUAACACGUGGGAAACCUGCCCUUAGGUUGGGGAUAACACUCCUAACGGGGUGCUAAUACCGAAUAAUACGACCGAGUCGCAUGACUUGGUCAUCAAAGUCGGCCUCUGAAUGAAAGCUGACGCCAGAGGAUGGUCCCGCGUCCCAUUAGCUUGUUGGUGAGGUAACGGCCCACCAAGGCUUCGAUGGAUAGCCGACCUGAGAGGGUGACCGGCCACAUUGGGACUGAGA
rnacentral:rRNA from 1 species